ACUCUCCUUAGAUUCAUUUUAAUUCCCCCUGUUAUCUUAUGAAAACUGCUAAAUCAUCAGCAUCAAGAAUAGCAUUUGUGGUUAUUAAAAGCAUCCGUCAGUCCACUUAGCCACUGUAGCUGGUACUAACCCCAAUCUGUCUGUUUUAUGCUCCUGCUGUGUUGACUCUGCACCUCUGCGAUGAUGACAGGGAUGGCUGAUUUAAAGGGGAGGAUGGAAGGCAGCAGCGGCUGUGCCAGAAAGCAGCGGAAGAUGCGCAGAGACUUAGAAAUCCUCUUUGUAAAGGGAAAAAAAAAAAAAAAAGAAUAGAAAAUGGAUUUCUCAAACGUUUAGCCCUGCCAGGCCUCUGCCCUCAUCCAAAAGCGAGCUGUGAUGCUGCUGGCUGGACUUCAGCUGCAAGCGCGUUGCAUUCGCAUCGGCGGCUGGCCUGUUUGCAGGGUGGUUUCGAGGAGUCCCUGGCCCGUGGGCUGGCGUAUGUGGGAAGUGGGCUUCACAGCUGAGGUUUUGGUUGCCUGGUCUCUGCCUGGCAAACAUGAGGCAGUGGGACCACAGCAGAUUGUACACGAGUGAGGGAAUAUUGCCGGAGCUGUGCUCGUAGGAAUCUGCUUCAAAAGAUGAUGGCCAGAUGUCUGAUACCUAAACCAGCCAUGGGACUCUGGAGAAAUCACCUGAAACCUGCUUGGCUCCAGCUCCACAGACCCAGCCCUUGACCAUCACCCUUCCCUCGGGCCUUCCUCUCCCAUCCACUCAGCUUCCCUCCCCAGGGAAGCUGCAUUUCUGCUUCACUCCCAAAUCCAAUACCCAGUUUAGCACUGGUCCCAUUCCUGAGGUGGGAGAUGCUUCACCCCAGGCUCCUUGCAGGGAACAGCAGAGCAGGAGGAAGCCAGCAAUGGUUUCAUGUGGCCUCCUCCAGUAGAGGUGUAGAGCAUCCUCACAUCUCACCAGCUGCAGUGAGACCUAAAAGCUCCCAGCAUCCCUUCGCAAGCAAUUUUGAUGCUUUGGCAGCUGGGCUUGGAGGUUUUGGGGUGAAAUCCCUCCUCCCAGAGUGAUGAAGAUGGCAACCUCCUAGAGAGCAAAUGUCAGCCUGAAGCUCAGGAAAGGGAGAAAACCACCCCCCGAUGCAUCAAAGGGGACACAGAUGGUCAAAAAUUGAUGGAGAGCACAACUCGCUGGCAGUGCGCCUGUGGGCAUUAAUAUGAAAGCAAUUGUUCCACAGAUGCACAGUUCUUCUGAUGAACCAAGCUCUAGCAGCUAAUGACAAGACAGGAGCCAUUUAACAAAACAACAGGCAAUACAGAUUUGCCACUAUAUUUUUGAUGGAUUUUUUUUUUUUUUAAUAAUGAGGUUUGUGGGUUUUGUGUGUGUUUGGUUUUUUUUUUUUUAUUUUUGUCUUUUUAAAAAAGCCUCCUUUCAUGUGAGUUGAUGAAAAGUCCCUGUGUUUCCUGUCCCUUCCAUCUCCAAUCUUGCUGUCCGGCAGCUGCUGAGAAGUCCAGCUCAACGAUGCCGUACACGUUUGCAGCGCCAGCAGCGAGCUGUUCCUACCAGCCUGAGCAGUCAGUGCCUUUUCUGUCUGGUCCUUGGUCACUGGCAGUGCCCGUGAUGCUGUAAUCCUGCCUGCUGCCCACGCCAAGCUGGACGCGGAGCAAUGAUCCGUGUGGGAUCCGUGUGGGAAGCCAGCUCAGCACCGAGCUGCCAGCAGGGAGAGGCUUUGGGCUCACCCCAGCCAGGGGGGUGCUGUGGGCUGAGGGAAAACGGCCUGGAAGUCUGUACCCUGAACUCUUGCCGUUGUUAAUUAACCGUGUAACCUCUCUCUUAGGCAGCCCUCUUCGUCGGUUCGUUUGUCUUGCUCCUCAUUUGGCAGAUGGAGAAGCUGAAGCGCGGAGGACCAACGUUCUGGCCAAUUGUCAUCCAUCGAGUCCAUCUGUAGAAGCCAAAACAAACCAAAGUUCCCCAGGCGCUGGACCAGCGCGCUGACCAUGAGGUAACGCUGCUUCCAUACUGUUCUCCCGAUAAAGUUUGAUUAAAUCAAAUUUCUCCCUUUGAUUCCUCUUGAAGUGCUGGAGUGCUCCACUCAACUGAUUCCUAAAUGAUUCCCCAACCCACCUCAAAACUCUGUGCCUCUUGCUCUGUGGCAGAGCAAAACAUCUGAUGUCCACGCAGUAAUGUGACGCUGGCAGAGCUCCAGCGAGCCUACCUGGAGAGUGGGGUGGGGGAUUUGACGCUCCUCCACCAAGAAUGGGCAGCUGGGGCCAUACCGGUGGAUCCCUGUGUCAGGCUAACUGGUGCUGAGAGCAUCCUUGUGGAGGAAGGGCUGUUCUGGCCACAGCAACGCUCUAAAUUUCUGCUUGCUCAUACCAGACAGGGACCAAACAUGGAUUUCUCACUGGGCUGACGGUGGGCUUGAGGAGAAGCAAAAUAUCCCUUCUUGUGCCCUGCACAGCAGCUGAGGGUGUUUCUUCUAGCCUGGCACCCUUCACCCGCCUCCUGGAAACUGCGUACAGAGCGCUGUUCCUGAAACGCGCCGUGAUGCAGAAGGAGACCAGGCUUCUCCGCACAAUCCCUCUUCAGCAACUGGAGAAAAUGAACAAUGACAAAAGGUGCCCUUAAGGGUAUUUGCUUCCCAGUGGAAUGCACUUAAGGGCUCUGUGAAGCACACUGAUGUUAUUAAAAGGAUGUGCGCGGGGGAGCGCUUGUCAGCCCUAAGUGAAAUUGAUAAAAAGAUGUUUUAUGCAACAGGCUGUAUUUAAAUCUAAGGGACAAUUUAAGCUGCUUUGUGGGUAAUAGCAUCUCUUUGAUUGAGAAGCCGUGUUUUAAAUAUGGAAUUAGUGAUAGUGAGCGUGUUGGUGACCCUGUUUUCAGGGAAGGCACUGUUACGUGUGUUGCAGUGAGCAAUAGGACUUGAGGCACAGUGGAGUGAUGUUAACCCUUCAGUGGCUUCAUCCAAUUAAGUACAAGCCCCUCUGCCCUUUCCUGGCACGUCAGAGGUCUGCGUUCGCUCCCUGACCACUGUGUGGUGACUGCGCUCGGUCGGGAGCACCAGAUUUGAGAGGAGAAGUACCAACGUCCAGCCACGGGCUUUGCAAGGGCUGACAGUGGAGAGGCAUCUACGCCAGCCUCAUCUGAAACCCUCUCCUGGUUAAUUGCCUUCUGCCGGUGCAAGAUCAGCCUCCGUUGCAGACAGCUAUCACAUUCGUUAUCGUUCCCUUUCCGAGCUGUCAUCCAGCGUUACUGUUCCCCACCGCACUCACCCCAGACCUUGGUUGCUUUUCAGUGCUCCCUUGAUGCAGUUUGGCAUCUCUCUGGGCGAGGAGCGCUAUCGCUGCCACCUUCCCCUAUCGAUAUCCCUUUUGUGUGGUGCCCUCCUGCCUCGGAGCUCAACACCACCAAGCCAGUAAUUAGCGUCACAUUAUAACUGAAUUGUCAAAAGGAGCUUGUGUCAGAGCUGAGCGAGUCAGCAGGAUUCCUCCUGUCUCCUUUGGUCUUUCGUCAUCUUUUGAACAUCUUUUCUUCAUCGCUUUAUCAUUUAUUAGUCAUGAUGGCACGUAAGGAUUAGCUUGGGAGCCUUUUGCGGCAGGCACUGUAUUUCCGUGCUCCUGCAGCGCUGCGGGCAGCUACAAACCCGUACCGAGGGCUGCCGCUCGCUCGCUGCCCCAGCCCUGCUUGCAGCCUCUCUCCUCCUUCGGGCUGUGCGCUGGAUCUCCAGCGGGACCCAGGGGAUGUUUCCAGAGGAGCUUCAAGUGGCAGCAGACGUGUGUGCGUGUGGAGGGGGCUGUCCAGCCCAGCCAGGUAAGAACCAGCCGCUAAACCCACAGCAGGUACGUGGUGGCAAGCAGCUGAAGCGGUGCUAAAGGGGGUUUGAACAAGCUCUUGCUCCUCCCUGCUGCUGCCCCUCGGAGCUGCCCCGUCCUCCUCCGCCAGUCGCGUUUGUCCUGGGCUGUGCUGUGCGCCCCGGUCCUGCUUUCAGCACUGACCCUCAGCACCUGCCAGGAGGGUGCUGGGUGGUAGGAACCUCUGCACCUCUGCCAGGACAGCGCGGCCGCUCCUUCAGGCAGACAGCAGCGUGUACCAGCCUCUGGUGCAGCAGGAGGAUGCUCAGAGCCUGGCGCAGCUGCUCGGCGCAGGAAAAUGCAAACCACCUUCUCUGCCACUGCAACUCAACCUCUUGGCCGUGAAUUUUGGGUUUCCCUUUUGGCAGCUUCACUAGAGAAAUUGCAGAUGAAGAGCUGCGUGGGGCUGGAGCAGGAGGAAAGGCCACGCUGCAGAUCACCAGAUCCUACUGAACACGCUCGCCUCUUGUCUUGCUGCUGUUUCCUACAGGAUUAAUGCAGAGAGCACGUAGAAAACGCCUUGGCAGAAAUAAACAUGUUUUCCAUUCAUCUGGGAAUCCCAGCAAUCUCUGUUGAUGCUCCUGCUCAUAGCCAAGCCACGAGCUUUCAAAACACCAUUAGGACUCAUUUUACAGUAGCAUUUCCAAAUAAAGGCGGCAGCUCUUACACAGCAGUUUGCAGGGCUGAGAGAGGAGGAAAAGCCGUGUGUUGUCUCGUUUGCAGGUGUGUUGACCUGUGGUGUUUUUUGUUUUCCCUGAGCCUGUUUUGCAGCAAUGCUUCCAUUCUCCUCUCCAUCUCCCCACUCGGGGAUGCUCUGCAAUUCCCCGGAGAGAUACUGUUGCUGUUCACCAGUAGCAGGAUUGCAGGAUGUGGAGGAGAAGAGCACCAGGACCCGUAAGGCAGGGAGACUUGGGCAUCUGGCUGCAAAGAUGGCUUGGGCACGGCUGCUUUGUGGGCCAGCAAAGUUUUCCACAAAGCAAGGCUCUUGCAGAAGUAAAUGGACCAGGAAGCCAGCCUCAUCCAUGCUGACUGAGGGUGGAUCUGUGGAAAGCAGCUGGGGAGGUUGAGAUGCCCAAGGGCCAGAGCAAGAGUUGGGAUCCAGGAGCUGCUUCCUGGGCCGGUGGCUGGCAGGCCAGGACAAGUCCCUUCAGUUCUCCUGCCUGCACAGGCGGGUGCUGAGUGCCCUGGGGGACCUGCGAGGAGGGGGACACAGUCACUCCUAACGCAGCAGGAGAGGCUGGAGAAGCAGAGCUCCAGGAACCCGCCUACGCACCGCACAUCGGCGGGGACCCCUCUGCUCAGUCCGGGGCUGGCUCUGGCAGGACAGGUCUGCACGGCCCCUUCCCUCGCCGUUGGUUGCUGAGAAUUUGAAGAAGUCCUCUUGGAGCUAGGAUGGGUGCAGGGCUGUGUGAGCCUGUGGCACCCAUGGGCCCCCUCCGCACAGCCCCCGCUUCGCGCACGGAGCAGCAAUUCGGCAGUCAGUGACAGCAGCGUCACCCCAAAGGCCAUGCGGGCAGGGGUUGGUGCGCAGAGGUGGUGGCAUUUCUUCUGGUCCCACUCGCAAGCAGACAAGGCACUUCGCCCUGGCGAUCGUGCAUUCCACCUGCCCACACAUCCAUCACCCGGUGCCCCUGCAAGCUUCCCAGUGGCUGUAUUUCUUUCCCCGUUAAAAUUAAACCUCCCAGCUGGAUGUGCUUGAAAGCCAUUCCUGUUCCCAUGUUCACGGAGCUGCCUGUCCCCGCGCUCCCGUCCACCCAGCAAGGAUUUGCUCGGGAGCAAGGGCCUCCCCUUGGCUGCCGCCUGCCGGAGGGGUGAGCUCUAACUAUCUGGAGGACAGGAGUGUGCGAAGAAGAAUCAAUAUUUUAUGAAGCCUUCCCAGCUGGCGGGUGGUCACAGCCUGGAGGGAGACACGCUGCCUGCCCCUCGGCUCCCUGGGGAGAUGCUGUGACCCUCAGCAAGCGGAGCUGCCGCAUUCGGAAACAACAGAGCGCUGCGUGACGUAGGCAGAAGGGAGCCAAGCGCCCCCGUCACCCCCAGCUGUCUCCGAGAGCGUGGACUGAACGGGAGAGACGUUUUUCUCCGAGAUAGCGGGGAGCUGCUUGGAUUUCCAUCCAGCACCGGUAAAAGGAGCUCCCUCCUCCUGGAUACAAAACCCACCAGGCCCCCGCCAGCCAGCCCCGUGCUCCCUCCCCGGGGUCGCUGGGGGAAUGUCCCGGCGUGGCUCGGGGGGUCCCCACUGCUGGGGCCACCAGGGCAUGGCUCAGGCUCAGCGCUUGUGCCGCUGCCACUCGUGCCCUGGUUCCCCAGGGCUUGUGCCCCGCUGGCUCCAGCUAGUGCCGGGCCAGAGCCGACGUCCUGCUCUGGACCAGCUGGGCUCAGCCGCGCUGGUGAGCACAGGGAGCCGGGGGGGCGAGGGGAUUUGGGGUCUCACUGCUCUGCCGGGCAGGGGUGGCACCAGCUGCUGGAUCCAGACAUGCCGGCACAGGCAGCGGCUCUGCACAUCUUCCUCAGAACAACCCCCUCAUCCCUGAGGAUGCACCGUGCGGGCAUUUGUGGUGGUCCUGAGCUCGGGUGCCUCUCGCUGCAGGGACUGUCCCGGCCCUGGUGUAGCCACUUAUGCCGGAGCUGCCGGCUGGCCGGUGACCCCCUGCAGCCCAGGGCUGAUGGCCAGGGAGAGGAGAGCCAGGGCACAGCUCCCACACCUCUCCCCUCCAGCUGGAGCCUCUGAGCACACAGCUGAGGACCUGCCACCAGCACCGUGCCGAAUGUAUUUCCCACAUUACGCUGCAUCCCCAUUUACAUGUGAUUAAUUGAAACCUCUUGUUGCUAUGGGACUGACAUCUCCCUGCCUCACCUUUGCUUUCACUUUUUUUGUUGUUUUUUGUUUGUUUUCCGGGUAAUGCUCUUUGUUCUUUUAUUUUCUGCUCAAAUGUAGUGGAAAAACUAGUGCUGGAGGAGGGGGGUGGGAAGGGGGAGUUGGAGCUUGCAGUAGGAAAGAAUGGACUUUUGUAAAUACAUAGGCAGCUUUUGCAUAGGGUUCAGCAGAAAUAACCUGCUUUCUGUGGGUCAGGAACCGAGGGGCUUCCCAGAAGAGAGGCAGCAGAGGGGACCUGAUGUGCUGGGAGGUGGGUAUGGGACUGGGGGGACCCAGAGCGUGCACCAGCCCAUCCCUCUUGUGCUCCGCUGCAUCCCCAAACCGCCGAGGCAGGCGGCCUGAGCGAUGCGGGGAGCCAGCAUUUGGCACCCGCCAGCCCCAGAUUAAAGCUGCACGUCAAACCCCACGUUUGCUGUUGGGGUGGUCACACGCUUGUCACACGCUGUUGUUAGGAACUGUCCUGGAAGCAGCAGCAGCAGGGUUCAAGGCAUGCGUUCGCUGCCCCAAACUGCUUACGGCGGGGCAGACCCUCCCUUCCCCGCAGGAGAGCGUAGGAAGGGACCCGCCGAGGAGAGCCUGUCCCUGGGGAGCUGGGAUCUGCAGGACCUGUCCCAGGGCAGCGCAUCCCCCAGGGCUGCAGGGAGCUGGGGUGAGCCCUGGGAUGGGACUCGUGCAGGGUGGCCGCUGCCUUAGCGUGGUGGCGGAGCUGAAAGCAGCAGGGGGGACCAGUCUGGCUCCCCUGGGCGUUAGUAAAGCUCUUGCUGGUCUCCGUGCUGGAGGGGCGGGCCCGGGGGCUAGCUGUAGCCUUUGCCAGGGCAGAAGCAGAACAGGACCCGCUCCCCUGUGCCAGAGAUGCUCAUGAGGAGCACAGUAAUCCCUGCCCCAGGGAGAUAGCUGCUAUAACAUCGUCUGUCUUUGCUCAAGGGGAGUUAUCUUUCAUUUUUUAAGUUAUUAACACAAAAUUAUCGAUACCCAUAUUCUGGUUUGUUAUACCUCCUAGCAGGGUUGAAAGCAGAUAGAUUUCCGAAGAAACAGAAUUGAUUCGGUACCGACGAGAGCAGAGCAACAUUCAGCAGCGCUUCAGGGCAUGAAUCGAUGCUCUCCGAGGCGCAGGAGGGAAAGGUGAUGCAGGUACCGUCAGGAGCAGCUCAGGGGACGGGUGGACGUGUGCUCCUGCGGUACGGCCAGGAGAGCAGCAGCCGCGGGAAAAGGAGGCUGGAUUCACCACAAACUGGUUUUGCAGAUGCACCCGGCAUGAAACAACCCGAAACCCAGUGUGCAGCCAGUUUAGCGAAUUAAAGGUCAGAGGGGAGGGCUGGCAUUGCCGCUCUGAAUUCCUGAACAGUAGAAGCCACAGGACUUAAUUCUCCUUUUCAGCCCAGCAUCCAGGCUUAGCUUCAGUUUUUCCACUGCUACAGGAUCCAACCCAAUUCUUGAUAAAUUGCUCUAAGGGCCAAUAAUCCGCGUUCUUCAAAAACAAAACCAAAAAAAAGACCAGAACAACAAAAAAACCCCACAAUCUAUUCUGGGUCAAAUUUAUCCAGCUUCAUCCUUCAGUAACUGGAUAUGAUCUUUGUCUCCCAGGUUGAAGAGCAUCUUUUGGUCACGCUGCUGCUCCCUGUAGCGCUGUGCUGCAGGUCCAGGGUGGGUGGAUUUAUCGCCAGCUGCGUCCACAGGCUGUGCUUGAGGGUGCGAGAAGGGAGAAUUGGGAAAAUUAUUUUGCUUUGCCAUAAAAAAAAGAGGCCAGUAAAGGCCAAGACUGUUUCUCAGAAAAGGAUUUGGUGACUUUUUAGAGCAGCCAGUGCCUGCCCUUCCCUUUGCGGUCAGCUGAGACCCGAGCAGCCAGCCUUGGGAGGGCCAAGCUCAUCAGCCACGUGGCCAGAUUCCAGUAUUACUAUUAAAAGCUCAAAACCCCAGAGUCAGCUUCUCUCCUGGGUCCAAAGAUAUGUAUAUGUAUUAAAAAAAAAAAAAAAAAAAAAAGCCAGAUUUCUCUGCUUGCUGUCUGGAUUUUUGAAUUUCUUCCUAUUUUCAACCACAAAAAUCUAGAAACCUCACGUUUUAAUGGAAGGGAAGACUUGUAAUCUGAUAACAUAACCCCAGGGGCUGCAUGUAAAACAGGGCUUGUAAGAACUGGCCGCUCCAAAAGCUACAAAGCACAUCCAGAGCAAAACCAGGAAUAAAAUGUGACCCCUGUUCUCUGGAUGUACUCAUUGUAAAAUGUUUAUUUCUUUUUUUGAACUGGCUGGCAUUUUCCAAACUGCUACAGCCCUGCCUGCCCCUUCUUCGUGGGAAGUCUUGAAGGAUAUUUUGUUGGGAAAGAAAUUCCUGAUGAAGCCUGGGUCUGGAUGCUGGGUGCACCUCACCGGAGGCGAUGGGCAGCGCAUGCCAGCCUGGCAGAGACGUCCUGGCUGCAAGGAACAGUCUCGGCACACAAAGAAAACAACAGUCUGGAUCGGAGGUCACCGAAAACCCGAGUGAACCUGGGUUGCAUUUGGGAACUGGUUGGAUGUUUUGGCUCAGCCUGACAUGGAAACCUGCUCCUGGCGCGUUUGUAACCACAGGCUUGACAGGCAGAAGCGAAACAAGCAGUUCAAGUGACUCAGAAAAGAUCACCUUGCAGGGCGAUCAUCAGCCGCGCCGCUGAUGGCAGUGAAGUUUCACCACCCAGCAGGACCAGGGAGGAGAGAUCCUUUCAGCUGCUGUAAAUCGGCACAGCAUCCCUUGCCAUGCCAGAGAACCACGCUGAUUUACCUUGGCCUCACUGAGGUCCCUGGCAGGCACGUGCCGGGGGGUCACAGUCGGGCGGUCGGUGUCCCCGUCCCGCUGAUGGAUGUCCCAAGGGGAGGCAGCGGGUUUGCGGUGCCUGGCAGAGGGGCAGGGCUGGCGGUGGUGGCAGCUCCAGGGGCCCAAUUUUAACCUGCCACCAGGUGCCGGUGAGAAGCCAAGCGAUGUUGUGCAGCCUUUAAUGUCGCAAAGCUCCGGUGGGAUGGGGAGCAAUUGCCUGGGGCUGGGACGCUGCCCUGGGGUCCUCUCCCUGGUGCACUCGGUGCGAGUGUCUUUAGCAGAGGAACAGACAGAGCUGAACUGUGAUCCCAGCAGGCAGAAAGUCUAUCGGGGAAUGAGGAGUAAACAUCCUCCCAGGAUAAGAAACAGGCAGCAUGAUAGUGGGCUCAGAUGAGCGGUGGCUGAUGGGGUCUGUUGCCCAGGAAAGCCCGGCACCAUCCCUUCUCCCUGUUCCUCUGCAAAGCCCCGAUCCACUUGUGGAAGAGGUCAGGGUAUUGGAUGGGGGGCUCAAAACCAGCAGUUCCAGGGGCUCAGGUUGUCAGCACGUGGAUGCAAGAUCCUGGAAAAAGGGUCUCUGUGUGAACUGAACUCUGGAGCCUUGGCAGGAGCAAGCCAGCUUCCCCCCGCGGGGCGCGGAGCGGUGCAGGGAGUUACCAGGGGGCUUUGAGGAGGGUUUAGGAAGGAGCAUCUGUUAGGAGGAGGCAUCCUGAUAUUGCAAAGUCUGUUUAUUUUCUCAAAUCAAAUUGAAAAUUCACAGCAACUUCCCCCAAGUUAUGGAAGUAAAUACUCGGAGCAGUUACACUCAGAAACACGCAACUAGCCAGAGCAAAAAGAAAUAUUUAGCUAAGGUCGGCCACAACUAAUUACACGGGAUGUACACAUGACAUAGUAAACCCUGAAAUAAAGUCUCCAGCCCCUUUCCCACAUAUUGACUGCGCAAGAUCCCAUUUUGAUGCUGAAUUGCUUUGAAAUUGCUCUGUCAAAAACUUCCUUGACAUCAAUAUGCUCCCGCAAAACGUUUCAAUCUCGGUGAAACAGCAUUUCCCACUGGAAACCUCUUUAGUUUAAAUAUUUCCUUGUCGCUGCCGAUGCUUCCUGGGUUCAUGCCCUGCUUCCAGCUUUGUUCUCUUCUGCGACCAGCCUGUGACAAGGCUUAAAUAAGUAAUGAUUUGUAAAGUGCUUUGAUAUCCUCUGAUAAAAGAUGCCCCAGAACACUGUGUAUUACAGUACCAUGAUUUCUCUCCUCGUUUCUUCAGAACGCAUUAAAUGUGUGGGCACUCUGGUUAUUUCCUCUAACGGUUGAUAUUUUACCCUGAUGUAUUUUUAUCUUCGCUGUAUUAUAUAACUAAGUUGUGUUGGUGUCAAUCUGAAAGCUCCAGCGCUGUCAGUAAAACUAAUCCAGUUUAACACAAGCCUAAGAGGAGGACUGAAUUCCUUGUGAGAAAAAGCAGAAUUAACCCAAAUGAGUGAGUAAACUCCUCAAAGAGCGCCUGGUCCCGCUGUCCUUACAUUGGGAAAAUUAAUGAGAAUCAACACGAGCUAACUUUCACUCUCAGCUACAUCCUCGGCAUAUGCCAGGGGAAUUUGGACCCUGCCGUUUGCCUCCUAAAAGCUUUGAAGCUGGAGAAGUUGCACGAGGAAUAACUCUUCCUCUCCACCCGUGUUAGAGCUGAGCAAUCUUGGUGAAGGAUAAAUGUAUUUUGGUGAAGAAUAAAUGCAGCAUGAA